UACGUAGGGAGCGAGCGUUAUCCGGAAUUAUUGGGCGUAAAGGGAGCGUAGACGGCUGUGCAAGUCUGGAGUGAAAGGCAUGGGCUCAACCUGUGGACUGCUUUGGAAACUGUGCGGCUUGAGUGUCGGAGAGGCAAGUGGAAUUCCUAGUGUAGCGGUGAAAUGCGUAGAUAUUACACAGAACACCGAUUGCGAAGGCAGCUUGCUAGGCCGGAUCUGACACUGAUGCACGAAAGCGUGGGGAUCGAACAGG
rnacentral:rRNA from 1 species